CCUACGGGAGGCAGCAGUAGGGAAUAUUGCUCAAUGGGGGAAACCCUGAAGCAGCAACGCCGCGUGGAGGAUGAAGGUUUUCGGAUUGUAAACUCCUUUUGGUAGGGAAGAUAAUGACGGUAUCUAACGAAUAAGCACCGGCUAACUCCGUGCCAGCAGCCGCGGUAAUACGUAGGGUGCAAGCGUUACUCGGAAUCACUGGGCGUAAAGAGCGCGUAGGCGGGGUUGCAAGUCAGAUGUGAAAUCCUAGGGCUUAACCAUAGAACUGCAUUUGAAACUGUUAUUCUAGAGUAUGGGAGGGGUAGGUGGAAUUCUUGGUGUAGGGGUAAAAUCCGUAGAGAUCAAGAGGAAUACUCAUUGCGAAGGCGACCUGCUAGAACAUAACUGACGCUGAUGCGCGAAAGCGUGGGGAGCAAACAGGAUUAGAUACCCCGGUAGUC
rnacentral:rRNA from 1 species